rnacentral:rRNA from 1 species
CGGGACGGGGUGGAGUAAUGUCUGGGAAACUGCCUGAUGGAGGGGGGUAACUACUGGAAACGGUAGCUAAUACCGCAUAACGUCGCAAGACCAAAGAGGGGGACCUUCGGGCCUCUUGCCAUCGGAUGUGCCCAGAUGGGAUUAGCUAGUAGGUGGGGUAACGGCUCACCUAGGCGACGAUCCCUAGCUGGUCUGAGAGGAUGACCAGCCACACUGGAACUGAGACACGGCCCAG